rnacentral:lncRNA from 1 species
UGGAGCAUGAAGCUUGUGAUUAUAAACCUAAAUGAAAGUAUGUCAUUGCAAAUAUUAAAAGAAAAAUAAGAAAGGGAGGAGGAAGGGUGGGAAGUAUCAUGUUCUUAAAACUGUAUAUAGGCCAGCGCUGCGGGUCAAUAGGUUAAUUUUCUGCCUGCGGGGCCGGCACACCAGGUUCUAGUCCCGGUCGGGGAGCCGGUUCUGUCCUGGUUGUUCCUCUUCCAGUCCAGCUCUCUGCUGUGGCCCGGGAGGGCAGUGGAGGAUGGCCCAAGUCCUUGGGCCCUGCACCCACAUGGGAGACCAGGCAAAGCACCUGGCUCCUGGCUUUGGAUCAGCGCCGUGCGCUGGCUGCAGUGCGCCAGCCGCAGCGGCCAUUGGGGGGUGAACCACCGGAAAAGAAAGACCUUUCUCUCUGUCUCUCUCUCUCACUGUUCACUCUGCCUGUCAAAAAAAAAAAAAACUGUAUAUAUAAAAUACAUGAAAUCUGAUGCCUUUAUAUAAAUAAAUAAACAGGAGAAAAGAUCUGGCUACUGAGCUAAAAUAAUUCAUUGUCUUAUAGACAGCAAUUUAGCUAUUUUGGAAGGAAGUGUCUUUAAGAAAUUCUGAUUAUGAAAUUGUUUAGUUUCAUUUAAGAACAUAUUCUAGGAUCUGUUUCAUAAAACUCUUUCCAAUCAUGAUUUUUAAAAGCAAGCGUGUAAGAAAGAAGGAAGAAAAAGCAAUACAGAAGCAAACUGGCAUGUAAGGGUAGUUGAACAGUGAGAAGUACAGGUAAGGAAAAAUAAACCAGCUACUUAUAUAACCAUCAUGCAAUCCCUUGCCCUUCCUUUUCACAUGUGGAUAAAAGAGGUUUCCCAUCAGAACCUCCAGCAGCUUGAUAGCUCAAAAUUCCCUAGAGAAUCUCCUUCCUUCCCCUCUCUUCAUGUGCACACACAAGUGUACAUGUGUGCGUGCACAUGCGCACACACACACACACACACACCCCUACCCAGUUUUGUUUCCCACAGGGAGUCUCUGAGAAUCUGGUCAGUGGUGUUUUAAAUUGCAUGUUAGAGGAGGUUGUUGCAGGACAUCCCAAAAUCUUUUAGCUCUGGCUGUCCUCAAUGUCACCGUGCUCCAGAACAUAUGGCCAAGAUGCCUCCAUGCCACCUCUCACACUAGAGCUCCAACUCUGCCCUAUUGGAGUUGUUGGUUUGCUGUUACACUCUGCAAACUACUCACUCUGAUUCUAACUGAGCACUACUCAGCACUACACCUGGGGCACCCUGUGUUUCCCACUCUCCCCAAUGUUCAGCGUCUCCUAAAAGUUCUAGUGGACCUCCCUCUUCCUUGCUUUUAGGGGAGUCCUUAAACAGAGUUCCUUUUCCCAUGCUACUGUGAUACUUCUUUUAAUUUUAUGCUCCAAACUAUCUGGUGGCACAUGCAUUACUAGGAUGGCUAAUCCCACUGGUACUUCCUCAGGGAUAUUGUAGAUCAGAGAUAUAACCCAUGAGCCAAUUCCAGCCUGCACCUGAUGUUACAGAUAAAGUUUUCUUGAAAAAUAUCCACAUGACUUCACUUUUACAUUGUCUGUGACUGCUCUCCACUACCAUGCAGAGGUAUGGCAAAAACCUUAU